UAGAUUUUUUAUAUUGCAGAGAUGAAGAAAGUUGUAACUGUUCUAUUCUUUUUCUUCUUUUAAUUUUAUUCAUUUGCAGAUGCAUCUGUUCGAGAGAAACGCUUAAUUCUUCACAGCAGUGAUGACGUUUUUAACGAAAUCCAAAACUUAAAAUUGGAAAUUGCAAACAUAAAGGCAGCGUCAGAUGCUGGUUCAAUCUAUACACGAUGGGGAAAGACUGCUUGUGAAGGAAAUGGAACGGAAAAAGUUUAUUCAGGGUAUACUGCUGGUCAUCCCUAUGAAAUUGCUGGUGGUGCAGCAAGUUAUAUUUGUCUUCCCGAAAAUCCAACAUGGGCAAAGUUCGUUGAAGGUCUACAAAAUGAAGGAGCUUACAUUUCUGGAACAGAGUACCAGAUCUCUGCUGCCUUUAAUCCAUUCCCCAAGC